rnacentral:rRNA from 1 species
CAGCAGCCACGGUAAAACGUAGGUGGCAAGCGUUGUCCGGAAUUAUUGGGCGUAAAGGGCUCGCAGGCGGUCUCUUAAGUCUGAUGUGAAAGCCCCCGGCUCAACCGGGGAGGGUCAUUGGAAACUGGGAAACUUGGGUGCAGAAGGGGAGAGUGGAAUUCCACGUGUAGCGGUGAAAUGCGUAGAGAUGCGGAGGAACACCAGUGGCGAAGGCGACUCUCUGGUCUGUAACUGACGCUGAGGAGCGAAAGCGUGGGGAGCGAACAGGAUUAGAUACCCCAGUAGUCCCUGUCUCUUAUAC